UCUUAAAGUACAGUCUCCUUUAUCUUACCAUGUAUUAACUGAAGUACAUUUCUUUACAUAGGUUUAAUGAAAUCGUGUCACAUGGCAUCCUUCAGCUAUAGGUGAUACACAGAUAAAGGACCUGAAACUAAUGGAUAGAAAGAAGGAGUGAGAAGCAUUUUGCAAGAUCUCCCUGGCUAAAUGCACUUGCUGUAUUUUGCAUCCUCGCUGCAGGUCUCCUUGUUCAUGCAACCCAAAACACAGACCUGCCUUCAAGACAUUUAAUGGGGAAAUUUAUCCCAAAAAAGGUUCUUUAAUCUCAUUGCAGCAGAUGCAUUUUCAUUUCAUGAUUCCACUGUACCUCAAAAUACCCAAAGGAAGAGAGAGAAUAUCUAGAAGUCAACUGUGACAUAGGGUUGAUGGUAAGAAAUAUGGAACUAAUGUUAUCUCUGCAAAGAGCAACAGUGUUACCUUUGCACAGUUAGCUGCAUAUAUACAAAAAUAAAAAUAUAAACACACUCACUGAAUAACAUCCUUUAGUAUUUAUGUUAUUUGAAGUCAACAUAUGCUUUGUUCUACCUGAAUGGCAGCCCAUUCACUCGUUCAGUUGGUUGAGCUUGAGUGUUUGUUCUUAUUUCUGUCUGCUUUUACAGCUCAUCCAUGACAUUCCAGUUUGCAGAAAUGGUUACUCUCAUAUUACCCCAUAACAGCGGGUUUAGCUGUGGUUUUCCAUGAACAGCACAGUACCAAAAGCACCCAAAAAGAAUAUUUCCCAGGAGACCCAGGUAUGUGUGACCUAUCAGAAGCAGUCCCGAAAUCAUGGACAGUGGUGGUCACAGACACGAAGGUAACAGUUUUGCUGGGGCACAACUUAGUGCAGUCAGUGAGACAAUUUACGUGUUUUUGGAAGCUGCCUUGGUUUCUGCACAUCACAGGGCCAAGGAAACACACUGCCCACAAAAUGUGCACAACAAUGUGGGAAACCAUGAGUUCAGAAUGAUAUUGCAUUCCUCCUUUCUUUUAGCAUCUGUGUUUCUGUGUCAUAAGGUACUGACAGAAUCUUGUAAAAUAAUUUUGUACAGGUACUUGGGCUGGGUUAUUUUUACGUCUGUGUAACUGUGAUUGUACAGAAAAAUCCUCAAGGUUUCUGUAUCAGGGGUUAAACACCUGUUGAUAAUCAAGCCUCAGACCGUCACAGAGCAGAAAAAAUCACAGUAGUCCUGGCAAUGUCUU